rnacentral:rRNA from 1 species
GGGGAAUAUUGCACAAUGGGCGAAAGCCUGAUGCAGCGACGCCGCGUGAGUGAAGAAGUAUUUCGGUAUGUAAAGCUCUAUCAACAGGGAAGAAAAUGACGGUACCUGACUAAGAAGCCCCGGCUAACUACGUGCCAGCAGCCGCGGUAAUACGUAGGGGGCAAGCGUUAUCCGGAUUUACUGGGUGUAAAGGGAGCGUAGACGGCGAAGCAAGUCUGAAGUGAAAACCCAGGGCUCAACCCUGGGACUGCUUUGGAAACUGUUUUGCUAGAGUGUCGGAGAGGUAAGUGGAAUUCCUAGUGUAGCGGUGAAAUGCGUAGAUAUUAGGAGGAACACCAGUGGCGAAGGCGGCUUACUGGACGAUAACUGACGUUGAGGCUCGAAAGCGUGGGGAGCGAAC